GUGGGGAAUAUUGGACAAUGGGCGAAAGCCUGAUCCAGCAAUGCCGCGUGAGUGAUGAUGGCCCUAGGGUUGUAAAGCUCUUUUACCCGGGAUGAUAAUGACAGUACCGGGAGAAUAAGCUCCGGCUAACUCCGUGCCAGCAGCCGCGGUAAUACGGAGGGAGCUAGCGUUGUUCGGAAUUACUGGGCGUAAAGCGCGCGUAGGCGGUUUUCCAAGUCAGGGGUGAAAGCCCGGGGCGCAACCCCGGAAUAGCCCUUGAAACUGGAAGACUAGAAUCUUGGAGAGGUCAGUGGAAUUCCGAGUGUAGAGGUGAAAUUCGUAGAUAUUCGGAAGAACACCAGUGGCGAAGGCGACUGACUGGACAAGUAUUGACGCUGAGGUGCGAAAGCGUGGGGAGCAAACAGGAUUAGAAACCCGAGUAGUCC
rnacentral:rRNA from 1 species